rnacentral:rRNA from 1 species
UUGGAGGGCAAGUCUGGUGCCAGCAGCCGCGGUAAUUCCAGCUCCAAUAGCGUAUAUUAAAGUUGUUGCAGUUAAAAAGCUCGUAGUUGAAUUUCGGGGUUAGUAGGUUGGUCAUGCCUCCGGUAUGUACUGGUCUCACUGAUUCCUCCUUCCUGAUGAACCGUAAUGCCAUUAAUUUGGUGUUGCGGGGAAUUUGGACUGUUACUUUGAAAAAAUUAGAGUGUUUAAAGCAAGCUAACGCUUGAAUACAUUAGCAUGGAAUAAUGAAAUAGGUACG